UGGAACAGACAGAAGGGGUCUUUGAGGCUGUACUGUGGGCCGAUUUGGUGUGUGUUUGUGCAUUUGUUUUAGCAUUGAUGUGUAUGCACCAUAACCCUAAACCCAAUUCUGAUUUCAUGAUAAUGCAGUUUUUUUACUAACAUGAGCAUCCAGUGACAACCAUCUGCAUAUACCAGUGUUUCCCCUAGCGGUGCUUAGGCAGGACGGGCUGCCUACAAAAUCAUUUGCCUCUAUUGGUUUGAAUUGGGACUUUCAGUGUUAAAAGCUUAGUAUGUUAGUUUUGAUACAGUAAGGUAAACUCUAGUGAACCGACUUCAAACUUGGUUGUUCAACACCUACCUAUGGCUGGAUACACACUUUUACUUAAACUGAAUUCAUUGCCAGCCAUUCUUGGAGAUAGGAGUACGUGCACGUACUCUAAGAACCAUAAUACUAUGUACUAGAGAAGACUAAAGGGAAGUUAGGAGAAGAGUUAUUCAGUUGCUUUUCAGUGUUUGAGUUUGUCUUCUGAGGACAUAAAGAACAUACAGGGAUUAAAGAACACAGCAGACCAGAACACAAUCUCUGAGCUACGGAUAGACAGGUCCUACAUUUAUAUGUUCAUUUAUUUGAUCAUGAACGUCAUGUGUGAAUAACAAACAUUGCCUUCAGAAAGUAUUCACACCCCUUGACUUUUACAACAUUUUGUUGUUACAAACUGGGAUUCAAAUUAAUUUAAUUGACAAAAUACUUGGUAAGGUCAAAAAUGUGUCAAAUAAAACACUAAUAUAUCUUACUUAGAUAAGUAUUCAACCCAAAUGAGUCAAUACAUGUUACGAUCACCUUUGGCAGCGAUUACAGCUCUGAGUCUUUCUGGGUAAACCUCGCAGAGCUUUCUACACCUGGAUUGUGAAACAUUUGCCCAAGUUCUUCAAGCUCUGUCAAAUUGGUUGUUGAUCAUUGCUAGACAACCAGUUUGAGGUCUUGCCAUAGAUUUUCAAGCAGAUUUAAGUGAAAACUAACUCAGCCACUCAGGAACAUUCACUGUCUUCUUGGUAAGCAACUCCAUUGUAAAUGUGGCCUUGUGUUUUAGGUUAUUGUCCUUCUGAAAGUUGAAUUCCUCUCCCAGUGUCUGUUGGAAAGGAGACUUAACUAGGUUUUCCUCUUAGGAUUUUGGCUGUGCUUAGCUCCAUUCAAUUAAUUUUUUUAUCCUGAUAAAUUCCAUAGUCCUUAACAAUUACAAGCAUAACAUGAUGCAGCCACCACUAUGCUUGAAAAUAUGGAGUGGUACUCAGUAAUGUGUUGUAUUGGAUUUGCCCCAAACGUGACACUUUGUAUGCAGGACACAAAGUGAAUUGCUUUGCUGAAAACAGGAUGCAUGUUUUUGAAUAUUUGCAUUCUGUACAGGCUUCCUUCUUUUCACUCUGUUAAUUAGGUUAGUAUUGUGGAGUAACUGCAAUGUUGUUGAUCCAUCCUCAGUUUUAAACUAACUGUUUUAAAAAGUCACCAUUGGCCUAAUGGUGAAAUCCCUGAGCGGUUUCCUUCCUCUCUGGCAACUGAGUUAGGAAGGACGCCUGUGUCUUUGUAGUGACUGGGUGUAUUGAUAUACCAUCUAAAAUGUAAUGAAUAACUCCACCACGCCCAAAGGAAUUUUCAAUAUCUACUUUAUUUUUUUUUACCCAUAUACCAAUAGAUGCCCUUCUUUGCUAGGCAUGGGAAAACCUGUGGUCUUGUGGUUGAAUCUGUGUUUGAAAUUCAUGUCUCGACUGAGGGACCUUACAGAAAAUUGUAUGUGUGGGGUACAGAGGUAGUUAUUCCAAAAUCAUGUUAACCUCACUAGGGUAGGGGGCACUAUUUUCACCUCCGGAUGAAAAGUGUAACCAAAGUAAACUGCCUGCUACUCAGGCCCAGAAGCUAGGGCAUGCAUAUAAUUAGUAGAUUUGGAUAGGAAACACUCCAAACUUUCUAGAACUGUUAAAAUAAGGUAUGUGAGUAUAACAGAACUGAAAUGGCAGGCGAAAACCUGAGGAAAAUCUACCCAGGAAGUGCCAUUAUUUUGAAAUGGCUGUUUUUCCAAUGAUUGCCUAUCCACCUUUUAAAGGGAUAGGACCCAGAUUCCGUUCCUUAUGGCUUCCACUUGUUGUGAAUAGUCUUUAGACAUUGUUUCAGGCUUUUAUUCUGAAAAAUGAGAGAGAAUGACAACUUUGAGUCCCCAGAGCUGUUUCCUGCGCAUGACCGAGAGCGCACCUUUCUUGUUCUCCUUUUAUAUUGACGACGCUAUUGUCCGGUUGAAAUAUUAUUAAUUAUUUAGGCUAAAAACAACCUGAGGAUUGAUUAUAAACAUCGUUUGACAUGUUUCUACGAACUUUACAGAUACUAUUUGGAAUUUUCGUCUGCCUCUUGUGACCGCAUUUGAGCCAUUGGAUUACUGAACAAAACGCGCCAACAAAAUUGAAGUUUUUGGAUAUAAAGAGGGACUUUUAUCGAACAAAACAAACAUUUAUUGUGUAACUGGGCGUCUUGUGAGUGCAACCAUACAAAGAUCAUCAAAGGUAAGUGAUUAAUUUUAUUGCUAUUUCUGACUUUUGUGACUAAUCUACUUGGCUGGUUACUGUAUGUAAUGUUUUGUGUGCUGAGUGCUGUCCUCAGUUAAUCACAUGGUUUGCUUUCGUCGUAAAGCCUUUUUGAAAUAUGACACGGCGGCUGGAUUAACAACAACUUAAGCUUUAUUUUGAUGUAUUACAAUUGUGAUUUCAUGAAAGUUAAAUAUAUAGUAAAAAUUAUAGUAAUUUAAAUUUGGCACUCUGCAAUUUCACUGAAUGUUGGUCAGGUGGGACGCUACUGUCCCACACCCCCUAGAGAAGUUAAACACUAUUAUUGCAGACAGAGUGAGUCCAUACAACUUGUGAAAAAUGUUUUCUCCUGAACUUAUUGAGGCUUGCAUAACAAAGGGCUUGAAUACUUAUUGACUCAAGAUAUUUCAGAUUUUCAUUUGUAAUUCAUUUGUAAACACUUCGACAUUAUGAAGUAUUGUGUGUAGGACAGUGACAAAAACAUCUAAAUUGAAUAAAUUUAAAUUCAGGCUGUAACACAACAAAAUAUGGAAAAAGUCCAGGGGUGUGAAUACUUUCUGAAGGCACUGUAUUUCUAAUGUCUCAAAUAGGGUGAGGUUUCCAUACAAGCCCUUUUUGAGUCAGCACUAACUGAAUAGGGUGAGGUUUCCAUACAAGCCCUUUUUGAGUCAGCACUAACUGAAUAGGGUGAGGUUUCCAUACAAGCCCUUUUUGAGUCAGCACUAACUGAAUAGGGUGAGGUUUCCAUACAAGCCCUUUUUGAGUCAGCACUAACUGAAUAGGGUGAGGUUUCCAUACAAGCCCUUUUUGAGUCAGCACUAACUGAAUAGGGUGAGGUUUCCAUACAAGCCCUUUUUGAGUCAGUACUACCUGAAUAGGGUGAGGUUUCCA